GGUCGGACAGCACGGUACAACCUGGGAAUCCUCAAUGGAAGACCAUGGGCUACGGCAGAAGCAGGUGGGGACUUGACUCCUGGUUCUACCCCACUGGGUCAGCAUUACUCUCUGCUCCAGAGUCCUCAUCUCUAAGACGGAGAUGGUCAGACCACCUUGAAGUUCUGUCACGAGAGUUGAAGGAGCAUCUCUUGGAGACAGCGUGAAAGAGCAGGACAUCUGUGGAGUCGGUUGGAGUGACAACAAGCAAUCAUUUAACUUCGUAAAGCUCAGUUUCCUCACUUGGGGUGUGGGGACAAUAACCGGGACCCCGUUCAGAGUGAUUCUGAGUGUCCUUGUAGGGGGUAGAUAUGAAAUCACUUGCAGGAAUUAUGUCAGGAGUUUAAAUGCUCUCUUUUCCCCUGCCCCACUUCUUCCCAUCUCAUGGGUGCUUUCAUUAAAUUUCAGAAGAGCUUUUUAUUUGUCUUAUUCAAACUUUUUCCAAAUUCUUUUUUACUAGCCAUAGAGAAAUUUUUUAAAAUGCCUUUCUGCUUCGCCCACUGGCCCUCUUAUCAGCAACUAUCCUGAGGGCCAUGGAGGAGGCUCAAUGGGAUGAACAAUUCCCUGAGAAGAUUCUGCACAGAGACAUGAGCCGCCCUGCAGUCAGUGGAUUUCUGCAAACUUUGUGAUCAAACUGUGGUCCCAGACUAGCAGGAUCAGCAGCAGCUGGGAGCUUGUUAGAAAUGCAGAAUCUUAGGUCCCAGCUCAGGCCUACUGAAUCAGGGAUCAGAAUCUGCAUUACCACCCCUACCCCGUGAUUGCUGUGCCCUGGAAAGAUGGAGAAGUGCUGUUUUGCAGGGUCUGGGCCCAGCGUCAGCCUUUAAAGCUCUGGGCUCCGGGGUGACUUGCAGGGGAGAAAUGAUGCUACUCUAUAGAAGGCCACCCACUGAGAGGUCAGGUCUGUGGUCCCGCUGGAUACCAAUCUCCAUAGCUGCAAUCACUGUUAUCUCUUGCAAUGCCCCAAAAGCCUCCUUAAGAGCUUAGUGACUGAUUCAGUUAGCGAAAUCCAAGCAUCGAGAAAGGAAGCACAAAUUAGUUUGUUUUUGCCUUGCUUAUCUGUCUAGAGAAAGCAUCCCUGCUCUUUCAAAUGCCUGAUAAAUGGACUUGAUUAUCCUCUUCAAGGAAACACGUGGUUGAGCGGUGGGAAUUGUGUGGGAGAGUUAUGUGGGAGAGCCUGCCGGCUGCCAGCAAAUCCUUCUCUUUGCUGUUCUCGUCUACAUCCCGAUGACAGAAGGUUUUCUGAGACACAAAACCCUGGUGCAGGUUUCUCUUCUCUGCACCCCAUGAAAAGCUGGAGUGUCUGAGAAGGGGUGGUAACAACUGAGAUUGGGGCCCAGCAGAUCUGUCCUUUGGUAUCAGUUCUUUACUGACGGUUGUUGGUUUGUCAACUUGAUUUUUCCUAUCUAUUUGACAUUUGCUGUUUCAGCAGAUAGAAAUUAAGCUUGCAGCAUAGUGGUGCCC
rnacentral:lncRNA from 1 species